UACGUAGGGAGCAAGCGUUGUCCGGAUUCACUGGGUGUAGAGGGUGCGUAGGCGGGACAAUAAGUCAGUGGUGAAAUCUUACGGCUCAACCGUGAAACUGCCAUUGAUACUGUUGUUCUUGAGUUCGGGAGAGGUUGAUGGAAUUCCAGGUGUAGCGGUGAAAUGCGUAGAUAUCUGGAAGAACACCAGUGGCGAAGGCGGUCACCUGGCCCGAAACUGACGCUGAGGCACGAAAGCGUGGGUAGCGAACAGG
rnacentral:rRNA from 1 species